rnacentral:snRNA from 1 species
UCACUUUGGCAGUGCAUGUAUUAAAACUGAAAUGAUGCAGAAAAGUUUGGCAUGAUCCCUGAGCCAAGAUGACAGAAACUCAUGAGGUACUUUUAUUUUUG